rnacentral:rRNA from 1 species
UUGGAGGGCAAGUCUGGUGCCAGCAGCCGCGGUAAUUCCAGCUCCAAUAGCGUAUAUUAAAGUUGCUGCAGUUAAAAAGCUCGUAGUUGAAUUUCGGGACCAAUAUGUCGGUCGUGCCUCGGUACGUACUGGCAUCGUUGGUUUCUCCCUUCUGACGAACCAUGAUGUCAUUUAUUUGGUGUCGUGAGGAAUCAGGACUGUUACUUUGAAAAAAUUAGAGUGUUUAAAGCAGGCUCACGCUUGAAUACAUUAGCAUGGAAUAAUGAAAUAGGACGUUUGAUUCUAUUUUGUUGGUUUCUAGGAUCGACGUAAUGAUUAAUAGGGAUAGUUGGGGGCAUUAGUAUUCAAUUGUCAGAGGUGAAAUUCUUGGAUUUAUUGAAGACUAACUACUGCGAAAGCAUUUGCCAAGGAUGUUUUCAUUAAUCAAGAACGAAAGUUAGGGGAUCGAAGACGAUCAGAUACCGUCGUAGUCUUAACCAUAAACUAUGCCGACUAGGGAUCGGAUGAUGUUAAUUUUUUAAUGACUCAUUCGGCGCCUUACGGGAAAC